ACAGCUAUAGGUUAAAGGUAGACCUUUCGUCUUCCAAACGAAUUGUGUCGGUUCAAAUCCGACUAGCUGUA
rnacentral:tRNA from 1 species